GCAAGUCGAACGAGGUCCAUGGAGCUUGCUCCGGACGAUCGAGUGGCGAACGGGUGAGUAUCACGUGAGAAACCUGCCCCGAAGACCGGGAUAACCCUUCGAAAGGAGAGCUAAUACCGGAUACCCCCUUCGGACCGCAUGGUCUGAAGAGGAAAUGUUUUUUCGCUUUGGGAGGGUCUCGCGACCUAUCAGCUAGUUGGUGAGGUAACGGCUCACCAAGGCAUCGACGGGUAGCUGGUCUGAGAGGACGAUC
rnacentral:rRNA from 1 species